rnacentral:rRNA from 1 species
AGAGUUUGAUCAUGGCUCAGAACGAACGCUGGCGGCAGGCUUAACACAUGCAAGUCGAACGCCCCGCAAGGGGAGUGGCAGACGGGUGAGUAACGCGUGGGAAUCUACCGUACCCUACGGAAUAACGCAUGGAAACGUGUGCUAAUACCGUAUACGCCCUACGGGGGAAAGAUUUAUCGGGGUAUGAUGAGCCCGCGUUGGAUUAGCUAGUUGGUGGGGUAAAGGCCUACCAAGGCGACGAUCCAUAGCUGGUCUGAGAGGAUGAUCAGCCACAUUGGGACUGAGACACGGCCCAAACUCCUACGGGAGGCAGCAGUGGGGAAUAUUGGACAAUGGGCGCAAGCCUGAUCCAGCCAUGCCGCGUGAGUGAUGAAGGUCUUAGGAUUGUAAAGCUCUUUCACCGAUGAAGAUAAUGACGGUAGUCGGAGAAGAAGCCCCGGCUAACUUCGUGCCAGCAGCCGCGGUAAUACGAAGGGGGCUAGCGUUGUUCGGAAUUACUGGGCGUAAAGCGCACGUAGGCGGAUAUUUAAGUCAGGGGUGAAAUCCCGCAGCUCAACUGCGGAACUGCCUUUGAUACUGGGUAUCUCGAGUAUGGAAGAGGUGAGUGGAAUUCCGAGUGUAGAGGUGAAAUUCGUAGAUAUUCGGAGGAACACCAGUGGCGAAGGC